rnacentral:rRNA from 1 species
CAGGACGACGCUGGCGGCGUGCCUAAUACAUGCAAGUCGAACGGUCUUUUCUAUGGAAGCUUGCUUCCACUGAGAAGAUAGUGGCGAACGGGUGAGUAACACGUGGGUAACCUGCCCAUAAGAGGGGGAUAACAUCCGGAAACGGGUGCUAAUACCGCAUAGUUUUCUUGAACGCAUGAUUGAGAAAGGAAAGACGGCCUUUGUGCUGUCGCUUAUGGAUGGACCCGCGGCGUAUUAGUUAGUUGGUGAGGUAACGGCUCACCAAGACGAUGAUACGUAGCCGACCUGAGAGGGUGAUCGGCCACAUUGGGACUGAGACACGGCCCAAACUCCUACGGGAGGCAGCAGUAGGGAAUCUUCCGCAAUGGACGAAAGUCUGACGGAGCAACGCCGCGUGAGUGAAGAAAAGGUUUUCGGAUCGUAAAACUCUGUUGUCAGAGAAGAACAAGUUGGAGAGUAACUGCUCCAGCCUUGACGGUAUCUGACCAGAAAGCCACGGCUAACUACGUGCCAGCCGCAGC